GACGAACGCUGGCGGCGUGCUUAACACAUGCAAGUCGAACGGAGUGGCGACCGGGUUAGUAACACGUGGGUGACCUGCCCUGCACUUCGGGAUUAGCCUGGGAAUCUGAGUCUAAUACCGGUUAGUGUGGGAUGGGUCCGGGGCCAAUCAGCUUGUUGGUGGGGUAAUGGCCUACGAAGGCGGCGACGGGUAGCCGGCCUGAGAGGGUGGACGGCCACAAUGGGACUGAGACACGGCCCAGAAGCCUACGGGAGGCAGCAGUGGGGAAUAUUGCACAGUGGGCGGAAGCCUGAUGCAGCGACGCCGCGUGGGGAAUGACGGCCUGCGGGUUGUAAACUCCUUUCACCAUCGACGCGGUAGAUGGAGAAGAAGCACCGGCUAACUACGUGCCAGCAGCCGCGGUAAUAC
rnacentral:rRNA from 1 species